UAGGGAAUCUUCGGCAAUGGGGGGAACCCUGACCGAGCAACGCCGCGUGAGUGAAGAAGGUUUUCGGAUCGUAAAGCUCUGUUGUUAAGGAAGAACGAGUGUGAGAAUGGAAAGUUCAUGCUGUGACGGUACUUAACCAGAAAGGGACGGCUAACUACGUGCCAGCAGCCGCGGUAAUACGUAGGUCCCGAACGUUGUCCGGAUUUAUUGGGCGUAAAGCGCGCGCAGGUGGUUUAGAAAGUCUGAUGUGAAAGCCCACGGCUCAACCGUGGAGGGUCAUUGGAAACUAAUAAACUUGAGUGCAGGAGAGAAAAGUGGAAUUCCUAGUGUAGCGGUGAAAUGCGUAGAGAUUAGGAGGAACACCGGUGGCGAAAGCGGCUUUUUGGCCUGCAACUGACACUGAGGCGCGAAAGCGUGGGGAGCAAACAGG
rnacentral:rRNA from 1 species